CCGAAUGUGCAAAAAGGCAAGGGUGAUGGUGAGGGUGGAGUUUGAAUCAAACAAGAUUGAACAAGGAAAUCAUUUUCUUACCUUCUUUUUUUCACAAAUAUCACAAUAAAACAUGGAUGAAACUAUCGAUUGAUGAUAGAGUUCAAUUAUUGUGAUAUUAGUGAAAAACAAAAGGUACCCAUAUGAGGCCGACGGCGAUGACCAGAUUCUGACGGAAAUACAUUCACCGUCUGCUGCGUGCUUCUUUAUUAUCUUUGCUUCUCUCUUUAUUUUUUUAUUUUACUGUUGAUUUUAUUAGUGCUAUUUCAAUUAUUGGGGGGUGGAUUUUUAUCAUUAGUGGCGGAAAAUAGUGAUUUGAUUCAAUACACUGUAUUGACUGAAUCUUAUUAUCAGUGGAAGAUUGAUGGUUAUGGCGACAAUAGAUCUGAUGCCAUUAACUUUGGAUCUAUCGGAGAUUGGACUGAAUGAUGAUUCUAAGGUUUUCGUUUUUUUCGUUUUUUUUCGUUUUAAUGUUGAUUGUGUUUGCUCUGUAUGCUUCUAAUUUUGUGAUGUUUGAAGCAGACAUUGGUUAGGACUGGUGUUGUAUGCCUACUGAUAUGCUUUGUUUUAUGGCGUGUUAGAAGCUUUUAGAAACCAACCUAUUUAAGUGUGUAUAAUAUGAAUAAUAUUUAAGGGUUUAUGCUUGCUUGUGGUUCUUCAGCUUCGUCACCAACUGUUAUUGUACCUCAAGGAAUGACCUCUCUACCGCAACCCUUUACUUUCAACUCAAUGAUAUUAGUUUCAAUGUAAUUCUACGUUUCUCUUCGUCCUAAAUUCAAUUAUAUAUUUAGCGAUAGUAUUGUAUGAAACUAAGGAUAUAUAACAAUGAUGUCUUUUGUAUGAUUUAGAAGCUGUUUUUAAUUAGUUUUGUGAAAACUUUGCAUAUGAAUUGUGCUACAGAUUGAUGGGAAAAUCAUAGCCCCAAACAAACCUUCUGCGUGGGAAUGCAAAAGGAAUUGUCAACAUCAAUGACCAGGGAGAUAAGUGGUGAAACUUUCUAGCAAAAAUAAGGAAAAGGUAGUAACUGAUAAACACACACACACACACACACACAUAUAUAUAUAUAUAUAUGUUCUUUGCUCUCUUGUAACAGGCCUGUCAACCUUGGAAAUCAACGUUAUAAGUGAUUGAAUUUCGAGUUCUUGAGUUUCUAAAGAUGUGUUAUACAAAGAUAGAUGAUAUGGCAGAAAAAUUGUCAACAUAAAACGAUAAUUACUUUUAUUGCAUGAGACUUCUCUUGGUUUUGUUUUUAGGGUUUUAUCAUAGCAUGCUCCAAGAAUGUAUAGAGAUUAAAGGGUUAACAUUUGAAGAUAGUCCAAAAAUGCAAUGUUCUACUUUGAUUCAUGCCACUAAACUUAGAAUCAAUAAAUUUGAAUGCAAAACUUCUC
rnacentral:lncRNA from 1 species